rnacentral:rRNA from 1 species
GGGCCCGCACAAGCAGCGGAGCAUGUGGUUUAAUUCGAAGCAACGCGAAGAACCUUACCAGGUCUUGACAUCGAUGUAAACUCUAGGAGACUAGAGGUGUCUUCGGACAACAGAAGACAGGUGGUGCAUGGUUGUCGUCAGCUCGUGUCGUGAGAUGUUGGGUUAAGUCCCGCAACGAGCGCAACCCUUAUGUUCAGUUACUAACGCGUAGAGGCGACGGACUCUGGACUAGACUGCCGGGGACAACUCGGAGGAAGGUGGGGACGACGUCAAAUCAUCAUGCCCCUUAUGACCUGGGCUACACACGUGCUACAAUGGCAGCCACAAAGAGGAGCGAGACCGCAAGGUGGAGCAAAUCUCAUAAAGCUGUCCCAGUUCGGAUCGUGGGCUGCAACCCGCCCACGUGAAGUCGGAGUUGCUAGUAAUCGCGAAUCAGCAUGUCG